AUCGGCAGUUUCUCAUCAAAUCUUGACCAAUCGAAACCUCUCUAGUAUAGCCAGCAGCUAGCUGGAGCUAAGCAGGGCUGUGCCCGGUCAGUACCUGGAUGAGAGACCACAUGGGAAAGCUAGGUUACUGCCGGAA
rnacentral:rRNA from 1 species